UGGGGAAUUUUGGACAAUGGGCGAAAGCCUGAUCCAGCAAUGCCGCGUGUGUGAAGAAGGCCUUCGGGUUGUAAAGCACUUUUGUCCGGAAAGAAAUCCUUGGCUCUAAUACAGUCGGGGGAUGACGGUACCGGAAGAAUAAGCACCGGCUAACUACGUGCCAGCAGCCGCGGUAAUACGUAGGGUGCAAGCGUUAAUCGGAAUUACUGGGCGUAAAGCGUGCGCAGGCGGUUUGCUAAGACCGAUGUGAAAUCCCCGGGCUCAACCUGGGAACUGCAUUGGUGACUGGCAGGCUAGAGUAUGGCAGAGGGGGGUAGAAUUCCACGUGUAGCAGUGAAAUGCGUAGAGAUGUGGAGGAAUACCGAUGGCGAAGGCAGCCCCCUGGGCCAAUACUGACGCUCAUGCACGAAAGCGUGGGGAGCAAACAGGAUUAGAUACCCUGGUAGUCCACGCCCUAAACGAUGUCAACUAGUUGUUGGGGAUUCAUUUCCUUAGUAACGUAGCUAACGCGUGAAGUUGACCGCCUGGGGAGUACGUCGCAAGAUUAAAACUCAAAUGAAUUGACGGGGUCAU
rnacentral:rRNA from 1 species